UGCAGUCGAGCGGACUGAUGGGAGCUUGCUCCCUGAUGUUAGCGGCGGACGGGUGAGUAACACGUGGGCAACCUACCUGUAAGACUGGGAUAACUCCGGGAAACCGGGGCUAAUACCGGAUAACCCGUUCCUCCUCAUGGAGGGACGGUAAAAGAUGGCUUCUUGCUAUCACUUACAGAUGGGCCCGCGGCGCAUUAGCUAGUUGGUAAGGUAAUGGCUUACCAAGGCGACGAUGCGUAGCCGACCUGAGAGGGUGAUCGGCCACACUGGGACUGAGACACGGCCCAGACUCCUACGGGAGGCAGCAGUAGGGAAUCUUCCGCAAUGGACGAAAGUCUGACGGAGCAACGCCGCGUGAGUGAUGAAGGUUUUCGGAUCGUAAAGCUCUGUUGUUAGGGAAGAACAAGUGCCGUUCGAAUAGGGCGGCACCUUGACGGUACCUAACCAGAAAGCCACGGCUAACUACGUGCCAGCAGCCGCGGUAAUACGUAGGUGGCAAGCGUUGUCCGGAAUUAUUGGGCGUAAAGCGCGCGCAGGCGGUCUUUUAAGUCUGAUGUGAAAGCCCACGGCUCAACCGUGGAGGGUCAUUGGAAACUGGGAGACUUGAGUACAGAAGAGGAGAGUGGAAUUCCACGUGUAGCGGUGAAAUGCGUAGAUAUGUGGAGGAACACCAGUGGCGAAGGCGACUCUCUGGUCUGUAACUGACGCUGAGGCGCGAAAGCGUGGGGAGCAAACAGGAUUAGAUACCCUGGUAGUCCACGCCGUAAACGAUGAGUGCUAGGUGUUAGGGGUUUCGAUGCCCUUAGUGCCGAAGUUAACACAUUAAGCACUCCGCCUGGGGAGUACGACCGCAAGGUUGAAACUCAAAGGAAUUGACGGGGGCCCGCACAAGCAGUGGAGCAUGUGGUUUAAUUCGAAGCAACGCGAAGAACCUUACCAGGUCUUGACAUCCUUUGACAACCCUAGAAGAUAGGGCUUUCCCCUUCGGGGGACAAAGUGACAGGUGGGUGCAUGGGUUGUCGUCAGCUCGUGUCGUGAAGAUGUUGGGGUUAAGUCCCGCAACGAGCGCAACCCUUUGAUCUUAGUUGCCAGC
rnacentral:rRNA from 2 species